UAACCUACCCUUGGGACUGGAAUAACCCCGGGAAACUGGGGAUAAUACCGGAUAGAUCAGGGAUGCUGGAAUGCACCUUGAUCCAAAGCUCCGGCGCCCAAGGAUGGGUCUGCGGCCUAUCAGGUAGUAGUGGGUGUAACGUACCUACUAGCCAACGACGGGUACGGGUUGUGAGAGCAAGAGCCCGGAGAUGGAUUCUGAGACACGAAUCCAGGCCCUACGGGGUGCAGCAGGCGCGAAACCUUUACAAUGUGCGAAAGCAUGAUAAGGGAACUCCGAGUGCCAGUAUCUAAUACUGGCUGUCCUUGUGCCUAAAACGCACAAGAUAGCAAGGGCCGGGUAAGACCGGUGCCAGCCGCCGCGGUAACACCGGCGGCCCGAGUGGUAGCCGCUAUUAUUGGGUCUAAAGGGUCCGUAGCCGGUUCGAUAAGUCCUCUGGGAAAUCUGGUUGCUUAACAAUCAGACUGCCAAGGGAUACUGUCGAACUUGAGACCGGGAGAGGUAAGAGGUACUUCAGGGGUAGGAGUGAAAUCUUGUAAUCCCUGGGGGACCAUCUGUGGCGAAGGCGUCUUACCAGAACGGGUCUGACGGUGAGGGACGAAAGCUGGGGGCGCAAACCGGAUUAGAUACCCGGGUAGUCCCAGCCGUAAACGAUGCUCGCUAUGUGUCAGGUACGGUGUGACCGUAUCUGGUGCCGUAGGGAAGCCGUGAAGCGAGCCACCUGGGAAGUACGGUCGCAAGGCUGAAACUUAA
rnacentral:rRNA from 1 species